rnacentral:rRNA from 1 species
AUUGAACGCUGGCGGCAGGCCUAACACAUGCAAGUCGAACGAGUGGCGGACGGGUGAGUAAUGUCUGGGAAACUGCCCGAUGGAGGGGGAUAACUACUGGAAACGGUAGCUAAUACCGCAUACCAUCGGAUGUGCCCAGAUGGGAUUCGCUAGUGGGUGUGGUAACGGCCCACCUAGGCGACGAUCCCUAGCCGGUGUGGGAGGAUGAGCAGCCACACUGGGACUGAGACACGGCCCAGACUCCUACGGGAGGCAGCAGUGGGGAAUAUUGGACAAUGGGCGCAAGCCUGAUGCAGCCAUGCCGCGUGUAUGAAGAGGGGCUUCGGGUUUUAAAGUACUUUCAGCGGGGAGGCGUUACUGGCAGAAGAAGCACCGGCUAACUCCGUGCCAGCAGCCGCGGUAAUAC